rnacentral:misc_RNA from 1 species
UACAGAGGUGGCAAGCGUUGUUCGGAAUCACUGGGCAUAAAGGGCGCGUAGGCGGCGAGCCAAGUCGGGUGUGAAAUCCCUCAGCUCAACUGAGGAACUGCGCCCGAAACUAUCUUGCUAGAGUGCAGGAGAGGAGAGUGGAACUCCUAGUGGAGCGGUGAAAUGCGUAGAGAUUAGGAGGAACGCCGGUGGCGAAAGCGACUCUCUGGCCUGUUACUGACGCUGAGGCGCGAAAGCUAGGGGAGCAAACGGG